rnacentral:lncRNA from 1 species
AUCUCUUCGGGACUGUCCUCUUAAUCAUCAUAUUACUGACUCUGUGGGCUGAGGACGCGUCCUCCUUCCUCGUCAACUUUCUGCUUGCCUUUUGGUUUUCCCAACUCCGAAGUCUGCUGAGCUGCUUCGACGUCGACGUACUAAAUCAUAACCAUACUGAUGAUUGACACAAUAAUAUACACUCGAUCGUCUCCAUCCCUCCAUACACCACCAUUCGGUAGAAAGAGCUCGGACCGUUGGCUUGGGAACACUGCAGCAUCAUCGAUCUCUGGUCCCAAGCCGCCCCCAUAUCAGGACACGCCCUCAGAGUCUCUCUCUCUCUCUCUCUCUUGAUCGCUGGCUUCCAAAUCUUCUUCAAUGGUGGAGGAGGACGGGGGAUCUAUGCCUUUUGGAACAUGAGCUUUCCGCGGAAUUAUUGUGAUGCCUUUUGGAAAUGGACUUCUCCCAUGACACGCACUUGUCCUCCU